ensembl:lncRNA
UAACUUUAAAGAGUUAAUAAUAUAAAAUAACAUCUCACGCAAAAUAAUAACAUAUUUCUCGUCAAGCAAACCUACUUUUUUAAAGGGACAGCGUGGUGGUGUCUGAUUGGUCGAAUCCGUGGAAGGGAGGGGCUUCGUUGGCCUUGUCAGCAGUGGUCGAUUUCAAAUUCGGUGCAAACAAGAACACAAAGAGAGCCAUAUUGUAGCAUAUCAUAAAUCUUCUUAACAAAUACAUAAAGAUAUAUGCUGCUGGUCUGCAAUUUUCCUUUCGAGAACUGCAACACGAUUUCCGAAUAUAUUUGAGGUUCAUCAUUCGCGGCAGCAGACAAUCAAGCUGGGAGAAGCCCUUCAUCGCACCACCUGACCUCUAGAAGAACAGCAAGGGACAACGUCCUGGCUGGUGGGAGUCAGCAGAGAUACAGACAUGUUCACUGCAAUCGCCCGCCUGCUUUUUGGUGGAGAGGAGAAGACUGCCGACGAUGCCCAGCCCAGCGGGGGAAGUGGUUGACGAAGGCUGGCUUCUGCUGAACCAUAGAGCUGUCAGCGAGGGGGUGUUCAGGAGAGGAGGACCAGAUUCAAGGUGCUGUGUUGACGCCUGCUCUGAGUGAACACCCUGACCCUAACCCAGGAGAUGGCAGCGGGCUGUCAGAGCCGGAGGUUCUGGUGGACCGCAGCGCUCUGAUCGCGGGGGUCCUCCAGAACGUGGCGUCCCGGGCCGCCGCGCUGGCCAAGGUCACACACGCCUCUCGGGUCCAGAGGGCUCAGGCCGGGGAGAAGCGCCGCCAGCUGACGCGGAGCAGUCUCCAGCGGCAGAACUGCGCCCGCCAGCAGAGCGAGAGCCACAGGUCCCACACACACCGCGGCGCCUACCUGCAGCAGCCGGGCUGCCGCAGCCACACCCACUGAGCAGGUGGACACAAGGACCGAGCGCUCGGAUCAGCGUCGGAACGCCACACGAGAAGCUAGAGAUAAUAAAGUCAUGAAUCCACCUCAUUUAUAUCCUUUCUUUGUGCAGCUCCAGACAAACCGAUCCAUGUGAACCCUGUCUCCACAGCAAAAUAUUAUCAAAGCAAUUCAGCAACUAAAAUCGUAUGAAGUUUGACGUCUCGUGGGAAGAGAUGCGUUGUUUCGUCAAAGCCUUCUGCAUUUCAAGUGAAGCUGAAUGAGUGACAUACCUACCAUGGGAUUUUCUAGCAUGCAGUUACGGAAUGUGUAAGAACUUUCAAAAAACAAUAAACAUGAACUGACUCGAGAGAAUGUCCUCCAUCAUUUAAUGAUCAUUUCAAAACCUACUUGCCCACAACGAUACUAUGGUAUAGCAGAAGUAGAUGAAAUUCAACUGGCUCAGUAAAUAAUAAAUAAUAUUGAAUGAGUUGAUGAGAGAUAUUUGAGUGGAUUUAAAGGAACUUUCAUUCUGUCAUGUGUUCACUUUUUGUAGAUAAUGCCACAAAUAGUGUGGAUAUUAUUAGUGCUCUGCCAUAAUGCCAUAAUAACAAUCUAUUAUUCGGCAACCCAAUGAAUCAACGCCAGAAUGUAUGCUAUGCUAGUAGCAUUGACUGCAUUCCUUUGCUUAAGAGGGCCAUUAAGAAGUAUAAUUAUGAAGCCCCUCAGGUCUUCUACUAAUUGGAUACUAAAGUGCUUGGUGUUUCUUCGCACCUAGCAAACCAAUUUUUGUCAAUCAUGUGACAUUCAUCACACUGAAUGUCAUGACAAUGUGUUAAGACUAUGUAAUUGAUUUGUUUUGACGAUUAUUUGUUUAAGCUGAUAUUAACAAUUGUGGUUUGUUAUGUGUGCUUGUGUGUGAGUAUUUACAGAUGGAUGGCUGUACAGUAUUUAUGUAUAUACGCAUAUCUGUGUGUGUGUGUGUUUGUGUGUUUGUGUGUGUGUGUGUGUGUGUGUGUACUGGUGUAUGUACUUAUUGGCGUUCUUUUGAGUGUAUUCGUAUGUGUAUCAUGUGUAUCUUUGUGUGUUUCUAUGGAUAUAUAUUUAUGCACAUUUCUGACGUGAUUUGUGGGGGUGUAUUGGUGUAUAUGAACAUGUAUAUUUUUAGGUGCCAUAUACCAUUUCAUUGUAAAUCUUUUAUCUUCUUGUAUCAUACCAUUUAUGGUAUGGUACAAGACUACUACUUUCCUUAUCUUAUCUAUUUCAUUCUAUCUUGUCUUCUGUUGUCUACUGCUGCUACUGGAAAACUUGACUUUCCUUCGGUUUA